rnacentral:rRNA from 1 species
GAGUUUGAUCCUGGCUCAGGACGAACGCUGGCGGCGUGCUUAACACAUGCAAGUCGAACGGAAAGGCCCUGCUUUUGUGGGGUGCUCGAGUGGCGAACGGGUGAGUAACACGUGAGUAACCUGCCCUUGACUUUGGGAUAACUUCAGGAAACUGGGGCUAAUACCGGAUAGGAGCUCCUGCUGCAUGGUGGGGGUUGGAAAGUUUCGGCGGUUGGGGAUGGACUCGCGGCUUAUCAGCUUGUUGGUGGGGUAGUGGCUUACCAAGGCUUUGACGGGUAGCCGGCCUGAGAGGGUGACCGGCCACAUUGGGACUGAGAUACGGCCCAGACUCCUACGGGAGGCAGCAGUGGGGAAUAUUGCACAAUGGGCGGAAGCCUGAUGCAGCAACGCCGCGUGCGGGAUGACGGCCUUCGGGUUGUAAACCGCUUUCGCCUGUGACGAAGCGUGGGUGACGGUAAUGGGUAAAGAAGCACCGGCUAACUACGUGCCAGCAGCCGCGGUGAUACGUAGGGUGCGAGCGUUGUCCGGAUUUAUUGGGCGUAAAGGGCUCGUAGGUGGUUGAUCGCGUCGGAAGUGUAAUCUUGGGGCUUAACCCUGAGCGUGCUUUCGAUACGGGUUGACUUGAGGAAGGUAGGGGAGAAUGGAAUUCCUGGUGGAGCGGUGGAAUGCGCAGAUAUCAGGAGGAACACCAGUGGCGAAGGCGGUUCUCUGGGCCUUUCCUGACGCUGAGGAGCGAAAGCGUGGGGAGCGAACAGGCUUAGAUACCCUGGUAGUCCACGCUGUAAACGGUGGGUACUAGGUGUGGGGUCCAUUCCACGGGUUCCGUGCCGUAGCUAACGCUUUAAGUACCCCGCCUGGGGAGUACGGCCGCAAGGCUAAAACUCAAAGGAAUUGACGGGGCCCCGCACAAGCGGCGGAGCAUGCGGAUUAAUUCGAUGCAACGCGUAGAACCUUACCUGGGUUUGACAUGGAUCGGGAGCGCUCAGAGAUGGGUGUGCCUCUUUUGGGGUCGGUUCACAGGUGGUGCAUGGCUGUCGUCAGCUCGUGUCGUGAGAUGUUGGGUUAAGUCCCGCAACGAGCGCAACCCUUGUUCACUGUUGCCAGCACGUUAUGGUGGGGACUCAGUGGAGACCGCCGGGGUCAACUCGGAGGAAGGUGGGGAUGACGUCAAGUCAUCAUGCCCCUUAUGUCCAGGGCUUCACGCAUGCUACAAUGGCUGGUACAGAGAGUGGCGAGCCUGUGAGGGUGAGCGAAUCUCGGAAAGCCGGUCUCAGUUCGGAUUGGGGUCUGCAACUCGACCUCAUGAAGUCGGAGUCGCUAGUAAUCGCAGAUCAGCAACGCUGCGGUGAACACGUUCCCGGGGCUUGUACACACCGCCCGUCAAGUCAUGAAAGUUGGUAACACCCGAAGCCGGUGGCCUAACCGUUGUGGGGGAGCCGUCGAAGGUGGGACUGGUGAUUAGGACUAAGUCGUAACAAGGUAGCCGUACCGGAAGGUGCGGCUGGAUCACCUCCUUUC